UAAUACAUGCAAGUCGUACGUGUGUAGCAAUACACAAGUGGCGAACGGGUGAGUAACACGUAAGAAUCUGCCCCUCGGUCGGGGACAACUUUUGGAAACGAAAGCUAAUACCCGAUACGCUGUGGAGUGAAAGAAUUUCGCCGAGGGAUGAUCUUGCGUCUGAUUAGCUAGUUGGUGCGGUAAUGGCGCACCAAGGCGACGAUCAGUAGCUGGUCUGAGAGGAUGAACAGCCACAUUGGAACUGAGACACGGUCCAAACUCC
rnacentral:rRNA from 1 species